UUAUAAGUUAUAGUGCUUGCUAAAUUGGAAUGAUACCGAGAAGAUUAGCAUGGACCCUGUGCAAGGAUGACACGCAAAUUUGUGAAGUGUUCCACAUUGAA
ensembl:snRNA U6 U6 spliceosomal RNA